CGCCCCGCCCGCCCGCCGCCCGCUUAACCCUUUCCAGGACCCCGGGACUUCCUGCCGAGAUGCGGGCUGCAGGCGUGGAGGGCGGCGCCACCUGUCCCCACGACGGCCCCACGGCCGAGGCUGGGCCCCAGCUGCGCCCCGGUAUUCCAGGAUAAAAGACAAAAACGUUGCGAACGCUCAGAGGAAACUGCUGAACUUUGUUCUUCUGUCUGGAAGUGUGGCCUCCACCAUCUCCGGCUCCCUGCAGCUCGGACCUGGCAUAGGGCCACGGGGGGACCCUCUGGACCUCACCGAGAACUUGAAGUGUUAGCUCCACAAAGCCAGUGGACAAGGGAGACACUUCCUCUGACUCCAGCUGCUUUUUAGUCCUACAUACAGCUGCUUCCUGCCCAGCCUUUGCCGGUUUCAUACGCUGCGAGGCUUUUGGAUUUCAGCGCCAGAGCUAACACCCCGAGAACAUCCUUAAAAAACGUUUUCAUUCAGCCAAGUGGAAUACUUUACCUCGGGAUUUGGAUCAAAGGAAGCAGAAACCAAGCAAACUACUGGGAUGUAUAUUUUUCAAUUAUCAGUUAACUAUACCAGAAGCAGCUCUUUUGGGGGCUGAACUCAUUCCCAUCAUGCUCCAUUUUUGUUUUGUUCUCUUUACUCCAAAAACAUUCCAAAAUCUACUGGGAUCUUUUUUCGCGGAUGUUCUGUUCACCUUCACAUGGAGACUGUGUGUCACUAGCUCACCCAGCUCCAUUGGCUUAAAGAUGCCUGGAGUGGAGUUUUAAACUUAUUUCCCAGCGAUGCCUCCAGCCCUUACCCCCAUUCUUUCAGGGGAAGCUUUAGGCUGACCCACAGCUUUAUAGCCUCAUCCACGUCCCCCACCCACUUUUGUGGAUUAGGAUCCAGUGGCCCCUAAGUUUUCCCCAACCAAAGGUGGAGUACUGGCCUGUCUUCUCUACCGCUCUCCAAACUUCCAGAGAUCAGGUACGUCGCAUUUAACUUUUCUUCCCGCAGGAUCUUACUAUGCUUGCCAUAUAACUAGGUUCUUAGUAAAUGUUUAUUGAAUGAGCGAAAAAGUAAAUGAAUUAACUUAAAAUAUUCAUCCAACCCAUAUGCCAUCUGGUAGAUAAGGUGUGUGGGGAACCCCAUCCAUUUUCAGACUUUACAUGUUUUAUUUUUAAAAACGUACUGUGGUCCCAAUAUGGCCAAUGGAAAUUGCCGGGGAACGAUCCAUGCAUUUAAUUAGGAAGUCAUUCAAACUACAGGGACAUCCAGAGUCCCUGAAGUCAAACAUGGGAUCCAACAAUACCCAGAAGAAGAAGGACUUGUCAUAAACAUUAAAUAACGUCCAUUCCAACAGUAUUUCAAGAAUAUUAUUAUUUUACUGUUUUAAAUUUUCCACUGCUCAGAAAGAGCCUAACCACGCAUGGCACACUUGAAGAAGUGUAUAAACGAGCCGUGCAGAGCUGUAUGAGGUAUAAAUGAAAACGUAAGUGAAACUCAGAAUUGCCCUGGGUGAGAUGGUGUCCAGCCCCCUAAUAAAUGCAGGGUCUCCCGGCCUGGGCACCAGGCUUAGGGGACUCUGACCCCCAUCUGGAAACUGCAUGGGGAGAGCAGAGAGCACAGCUUUGGAAUUCAACAGAUGGGAUUUCAAACACCAAUGUCACCAUUUCUCCAUCUUAAGAAAUUUGCACAGAACCCCUGACCUCUCUGUGUUCUUCUGUCCUCUUCUGUCUGACCAAGGUGACACAUGCAAGGCAUUUAGCGCAGUGGGUCUUAACUCUAGCGGGAGGACAACCCCACUCGUCACCUGUGACUUUGUCACUGCCCCUCUGGCUGAGUGUCAGCAAAUACUUUCUGCGCUCCCAGUUCUGUGCUUCUGCGUGUCGUUUUCAUCACACAACACCCAGUACUUACAGAAGAUUCAGGCGGCUGGGCAGUCCAACAUUGGGCCCUGUUUGGGUGCUGGACACCGGUUUUCUACUCGUGCUGAUGCCAGAGAGCAGAUAGUUUCCCCAAAGCUUAAUAGCCCAUAAGAGUUGAUGCACUCCUGCCUUCCAAUAAAAAGCAAUUAAAUUCCAGUAGCUGCCAGGAAUCGAUCCCGUUGCUACAUAGUACUUUGAGUCUCUUGGCAUGAAAAAUUAACCAGAAUAUCUGUGUGUUGGUGUGGAAACAUCAGUCCCCGCGGCCUUGAAAAAUUCUGCCCGUGUCGUACGAACACAAAGCCAUCUCCUACACAGAGCUCCCCGAAAUUCCCCUGGCCCCACCGUGACUACCCCCUUCGGCUCUGAUGGCUCUGGGUCCGUUUGCAGUGUCGUGUAAGCCAUUUCUUCAACAUGGUGAAUAUUCUCCUCAGGCCUGAGUUUUCCCAAGCAUCUAAUUAGCCCGUGCCUGAGAAUGUUACACCCGAAAAAGAGGAAUGUAAGUGCCCUGAAAUACUGUUGACGAUUGGCCAUUAACUGGUUGUGUACUGACCGUGUACUUGUGAUGUCACUGUACACAUUUUCUGUUACGGACAGUCCCGGGUUUAGGAGAAUACCUGAGUGGUCUUGAUCUGAAUAGGACAGUGGAGACCUUUCUUUUUAGCCUCAAGCCCCAGGGCCAGCACUGUGAGCAGAUCAAGCUGUGCUCAGUGCUGGUCCAGUCGGUGAGAGGAGGAAGCCUGAUUGUGCUGAGUGUCUCCCACCUGCCGUCCUUCAUCACUGUGGGCAGCGGAAGGAGGGGGGUUGGGGGGGGGGGGCUGGCAGGCCACCAGGAGGCCAACAGUUCCUGUCAAGUGAGUCAGGACUGCAAUCCCUAAAGGCCGUGAAGUUUAUUAGUGCUGAUUCUGGUAAACCUUCUCUUGGAAAAGACAUACCAACUGAACAGUUACUUUUAAAUACUUUAAAGGCAUGUGUUUAUCCUGUUAGAGCAAGUUAUUUACAAUCAAAUACGAUCUCACAUGAAUCUUUGCGGUAUACCUACACGUAAGCGUGCAUGUAACUCCGCAAAAUACCCAGGUGUAGAUACACGCGCUGCCAGAGGGCAGUUUUACAGUUGAGGAAACUCUCUCUCUCUCAAAGAGUCCGAUGUCACUUUCGUGUCACAUGCGGCCGAGCAGGGAUGCUAGUCCUGCCCAACCCCGGGCCCUUCUUCACAUUGACAGUGAAACACCGUCUUUCCAAAUGAAUGAGUCCGAUCUUCCGAGUACAGAUCAAGGAGGAGGCACAAAACCAUACUUUGUGUAACGGGAAUCGAUAUGUUAAAAAUAAAAUUGGUUUCCUAGUACAUCUCAA